AACCACACUAUCAAUGAAUGGAUUCACCUGCGAGAUGACAUGACUGUUUCACCUAGAAUGAGGACAUGACAUCCUCAUCCUUGAUGCCACGUCCUCAUCCUUGAUGGAACAACCACGUUAUCUCAUGGGUGAAUCCAUUCAUCGAUAAUGUGGUU
rfam:Oryza sativa Japonica Group DNA, chromosome 11, cultivar: Nipponbare, complete sequence.